AUGUCUGCAGGGAAUGGAGCACACUCUCACCUCCAUUUACAUUUAUAAACACUACAGUAUUUUCUGAGGGACCACUGUGCACCAGGCAGUGAUGUCAUUGGAACGGCUGUCACCUAUUUCAGAUAGGGCAGCCAAGGCUGUUCUGUACAAUAUCCCGUACUGGUUUCCUUACUUCAUCCACGUGCUUCAAUAAUGUCCUUUUUGAGACCGUGAGUCAUUUUUUGUUGGUAAACUUUUGAGAUAAUUAUCUUCGUUCUUUCCCUGCUGCUGUGACAGAGUGCUUUGGCAACAACAACAUAAAGGGAAAAGGGCUUAUUUGCGCUCACAGUUCAGGAUGCCCAUCAUAGAAGGGAAGUCAAGGCAACGGGCUCUUGGAGCAGCUUGUCAUACUGCACUCAUAAUCGGGAAACAGAGAGGAAUGGAUGCCUACAUGACAGGGCCCUGUUCACUUUGCCAUUUCAUGCAAUCUAGUACUUGCCCUGUCCACAGGAUUCUCUGACCAAAAGCAACUUAGAGAAGUGUUCCAGAGAGAGUUCCUGAUGGCCAGGAAGACAUGGCAAGAUGGCAGGAGCAGAAAGCUGGAUGAUCACAUCUUUAUCCACACACAGGAAGCAGAGAGCAUGAACAGGAAGUGGGGAAUGAGGGGUUUUCAGUGUAACUGUGAGGUGGAUCCCUGGUAACAAGAAUGACAGGAAAAAUCAUAAGCACUCCGAGUUCCUCAGUGUCCGAGUUUACCACCUUUCCCUGCCCAGCAUCUGGAGCUUGUAAGCACCACAGCCAGGACUCCACACCAAGUUGAGCCUGAAGUACCAAGUCCUGCUCUGGAGGUAAGACAUGCAGCUGCAGGCAUCACGCCCUGGCCCAGUCUUGCCCCUUGAAGGGAGGCCUAAAGACACUGCAAAGCAUAUGUGGGAACCCUGCUGGAGGGUGUGGGUGCAUCAGACACUGUACUGUCGGCAAAUACUCCGUCUUCCCACAUUUGUCAGGGUGCCAGAUUCUCUGAGAGAUUCCCCCUUCUUCAGGAAAUGGCAUGAUAAGAUUAUGAAAAAAAGUCAUUGUGUUACAAAAUUGUCUUUUCUCCUCUUGCCCUUUGUAUGUGACCCACGUGGAUUCUCGGCCCUGUCAACACGAGCAGGCAGCGAUGCCAUGGGCCUGCUCUGUCACUGAAGUGGGGAAGAUUUGAGGUGACAAGCCACUCCUGGUCUCUUGGAGCCUCAGCUUGUCUAUCCACGCACUUGAAGAGCUCAUGAGAGCUAAAGAUCUCUGCAAAGAAAGUGCAUUCUUCCGAAUUUGCACUUCUCUCCACGAGGGGGACAGCUUUGGUGACUUCAAAGUGUUUCUGGAAGGACAGAAUUGCACUUGGGUGUCCCAUGCCCCGGGCUGUAUGUACAGUGGUGUAGGACUUCGUGUUGGAAGUGGUUGAAGAGUCAAGAGUAAGGUUCUGGUCCUCCUUGGGGCAAGCUGCUUCUCAAGCCCAUGUCUUCUCCACACCCGCCCUGUAGAGAUUUUACCUGACAGACGCAAGUGGAACAAACAACAAGGCAAACUGAGCUGUUUCCUGUGACAAAGGACACAAAACCACCCUGUAUCAAAGCCACAGUCUCUUCAGGGUUGCCCAUGCCUGUCUGCCCAGUGCUAGGAACUUAGAAAACAUGCAUGGCCGGGUCCACCUUAAAAAUCAGCACUAGCAUUUGCAUGUAUGUGUCUAUGUACGUGUGUGUGUGUGUGUGUGUGUGUGUGUGUGUGUGUGUGUGUAUGUACGUGUGUGUUCAUGUGUGUGUAUGUGUGUAUAGGCAUAUGUGUGUAUGUGCACCCAUGCUGGUGUCUGUGUGUGUAUUUGUAUGUGUGUGUUCAUACGUGUGUAAGCACGUGCGCACAUGUGUACCCAUGUCUGUGUAUGUGCAGAGGCCAGAGAACUCCUUUCCAUUAUUCCCUUGAAGCAGGCUCUCCCACUGAACCUGGAGCUCACCAUGUUCUGCUGGGCUGGGGUCCACCCGUCUCCCCCACCUGCAGCACUAGGUUUGUGGGUGCCGAGGACACAGCAAAAGUGCUCUUACUCAGCUAGUCACAGCCCCAGCAUUUUUACAAGGGCCUUAAGUUCUAGGUGUACAGACCUUGUAGAGAACCUCCUUUUUAAAUGAAGAGACAGAUACGUUUUAAAAAAAAACAACACCAGAAUAUUCUACCAUGCAGAAAAUUACAUGCUCUGAUUUGGGUAAUUACAGGUUGCUAUGGAAGCACAGAGGUAGAGCCACUUAGCCCAGCCCAGGAAGAGCUGGUGCAGGAGGCAACCUCACAGAUGAGAUUUCAAGAUCAGGAAUUAACCAGGUGAAUCAGGACAGCAGGAGCUGAGGUGUCUUGCCUGCAUAUAUGUAUGUGCACCGUGUAUGUGCAGUGUCUAGGAUGGCCAGAAGUGGGUGUUGGAUCUCCUAGGAUUGGACUUGAAGACAAUUGUGCACUGCCAUGUGCAUGCUUGGAAUUGAACUUGAGGAACUGCCAGUAAUCUUGGCUGCUGAGCCAUCUCUCCAACCUCGUGCUGAAAAUAUUGUAAUCAAAAUGCAGAAUGAUAUCAGAUUUGUAUGAGGGGAUGGAAACUUCAUCAGACUGUGACAUGGGAUGAGGAUGGUGGUACAAAUGGAAUCUGUGGUGGACGUGGAGGAUGAGCAAGAAACCAUACUCUGUUCCGAGCGGCUGAGAUCUGGAGCCAUUUAGUAUGAAGGCACGAUUCAGUUUGUCAUGCUUGCCUCAAGUAUCUGCUGACACUUACAAAGUGUGUGAGGUUCCCAUCACACAGAGGCUGACACCUUAGCCUGUUGCACUUAUGUGGGGGUUGGUAGAAGACAUGGAGUUUCCGGAGUCAGAGACGUAGGACUUUGUUGCUCAUGGUAAGACAAACAGCACGAGCCUCCUCAUUGCAUCUAUUCCUUGGCCCUCAAAAGCCUGCUGUGUAGAGUGGCCAUGAUGGAUGCUCACCAAGUGAGUCUGUGCCACGAUUAAGAAACUCCAUGCUUAGGAAACUCCAGUUGUUUGCAAUGGAUAGCAUAUAAACCUGCCCAACUAUUCCCUAAAGUCAAAAGCAAACAAAUGUCCCCUCCUGAUCUGGAGAGACAUUAUCCUUAAUUUCCAAAGUUGUUCACUUCAUAACUAUCCUUGAAAGAUCUGGAACAGCCUUGUCAGUGACUCCGCUGGAGUGUAGAAACAGACAGACUUGGAACUGCUCCUCUUCAGCAUCUGUGGGUGGUGGUGGGGUAAUGAGUGGUAGGAAGUCUUCAGAGCAAAACUAGGAGGAAUUUUGUUGAAGGUUGGACUCUACCCAGAAGACAUCACAGAACCCUUGAAGGUUCUAAAGUAGGUGCUAUGGAGAAGAGGGAAUGGAUGUGGGGGCACAUUGCUAGAAUGGAAAUUAAAGCUAAAGAUACAGGUUUGGGGGAUUUUUGUUGUUUUGGUUUUUGUUUGAGACAGGGUCUCUCAAUGUAGUUCUGGCUGCCCUGUAGUUUGCUACGUAGACCAGGUUAUCUUCAAACUCAGAGAUCUGCCUGCCUCUGCCUCCUAAGUGCUGAGAUUGAAGGAUUGCACCACUCCACUGGGCUAAGCUUCCAGAUGUUAUGUGUACUUAGAUAAAUUCUAUAACCUUCAAAGCCUAGAUCAAAAUAUAUCAUAGUAGAAACUUCUUGAUAAAGAACUUGUGUUAGUCAGACAGAAACAAUUUCAGGAAACAAGGAUUCAUUUAGACUCAUGGUUUCAGAACAGAUACUGUCUGUCAUGGAGGGGAGGUACGGCGGUUCGAGCAUGAGGCAGCUGGUUGCAUCAUGUCCACAGUCAAGUGGCAGAUCCGAGAACUAGCAUUCUGCUCACUGGCUCCCUUUUCAAUCAGUCCAGGGCCCAAGGAGGCUGUACCAACAUUUACGGUGGGUCAUCUCCCUUUAGUUAACCUUUUCUGAAACUCCCUCACAGACAUCUCCAGAAGUAUGUCCCCCUAGGUCACUCUAAAUCCAGUCAAAAAAGAAGACCCAUCACAGAAAUCAAAUGCAGAUGUGCAAGAAAUAAAACAGAAGGAGCCUCUUUGCUUGAACUGACCACGAAAGAUCUGGAGCCUUCCUCCUGCUCCGCCAGCUCUAGGAGAAGUUCCUGGGAUCCUCUGUGGAGUUCCUACAGUCUAGAAAACAUGAGGAGACCUCAUUUUCCUUGUUCAAUUCAGGACAGAAAGAAUUCUUCUUUGUUUCUCUCUACAUACUUGUUUUUGGUUUUUGAGACAGGGUUUCUCUGUGUAGCCCUGGCUGUCCUAGAACUUACUUUGUAGUUCAGGCUGGCCUCGAACUCAGAGAUCUCCCUGCCUCUUCCUCCCUCCCUCCUGAGUGCUGGAAUUAAAGAUAUAUGCUGCCACUGCUCGGCUUCUCUCGACAUUUUGACCUGAUCAUUUGGCUGCUUCUUUCACUUGACACAGUAGGAUGCAGACUCCACGUCCAUCUCUGUAUUACCUGAGUCCGAGGUAGCACCUGCCACGUUUCAAGACUCUUCACUAGUGUUUGUUGAGUUUAAUUGAAUUAAUAUGGAAAACACAUCAGUGAAAUAACGUUAGAAGUACCCAUUUUGGAAAGCUUUUCCUUUUAAACUUGAUGAACUAUAAAAGAUGGCCCCUGGGAAAAUAAGGACCAAGGAAGAACAAACAACAACAAAACAAGACAAAGAACAACCGUGUUCUGUGGAAAUUCUAUGGAAAUUAUUUUAGUUUGUCUAUGGACCAAUAAAAUGUUUAUUCAAGAAACAAAGAGCCUUUUCUUAGUAGGGGACCAUGGUCCAAAUAAAUAGCACCCUUGAAAUUAGUGUGCUGUUAGUGAAAUUAGUGUCAGGACUUCUCAAGUGUGUGAGCCCUGCCAGCCAGCUGUGGUUUUUGCCAGGUGAGGAUGGACAGCCCUGUAUUGCUCUGCUGACUUAUGCCAUGCCAGCCGAGUAUUUACAUUUGAAAAAAAAAAACAACAAAAAACACAAUGAUUCAAAAGAACUUCAUGAACUAGGUUUGAUCCAGCUGCUGUCUUUAGCAAGUUCAAGGUGAGUUCAUCAGGGAUCUAGUGAAGACAACAGUUCUAGAAUCUCAGGGUGGCCUGGAUUUUCAUGGACUUCACAGACACUAGUGAGUGCAUGGUAUUGACUUUCAAGGAGAAAAAUCACAUAUGACUUACCAUCAUCCUGUUCUGGGUAUGUGCUAGCCUCUUUCUUAAGACCACAUGGGACUGGGUCUUGAUGGUUUGUUGAGCUGAACUUUGACAAGUGGAGGGCCCUUUUAAGUAAAAUAAUGCAAAAUUAGUUUUGAAUGUGAAUGUUUAGGAUGAGAACAGAAAUAACGUAAUGACAAUUUAAUUUAUCACCUAUUAAAAUAUAGUAUUAUUUUAG